rnacentral:lncRNA from 1 species
GAGAAUUGUAUUUGUUAUGAAAAAUCAGAAGAAAGAGCCUAUGUUAUCAUCAUUUUGUAGGUUUAUCAAACUGACCAUGGAUCAAGUGGACACACGACAGAUGUAAGGGGCCACCUUGGUGGUGGUAGAAUGUGAGUAUAGGCAUGGGUUAUUUAAUUUCUUGAUGUUCUUAUCAAGUACAUCUUGUCAGCAACAACAAAAUUUCUUUAGCAAAAUAUUUAAAUUUGUCUUAUGUUUUGGUAUUUGUACAGUCUGGUUCCUUAAGGUUUGGUAGAUCAUGAACAACUAGAGGAGAGGGUAUUCAUGUAACAAACUACACGAGAGGGUAUUCAUGUAUGGAUAUGCACCUCGGAUGAGGGACGUCCGUGAAACCUCAAUGGGAUGAUGCCCCUCACCUGAAGAUCCGUGACGGCCUAGAAGAUCCGCGAGCGCCGAUGGAUUCCCGCGGCGAUGAUGACGGUGGCGCGCUGGUGGACUCCCUCGGCGACGAUGACGGCGACGGUGACGACCUAGUAGAUCCGCGAGCGCCGGUGAAUUCCCUCGGCGACGAUGAGGACGGUGCGCUGGUGGAUUCCCUCGGCGACGAUGACGGCGGCGGCGUAAGGACAUCGUUGUGCGAUCGUGUCUUGUGCUCGUGUAUUGCGGCGGCGAUAGUGAGAUGCGAUCGAGGACUGAUUUUUUUUCUUGUGCGAUAUGUAAAUCCUGAAGCAAGGGGCUGGUUUUCUUUUGUAGCGAGGGGUUGGUUUUGUUUCCUAAAGAUGUAUACAAGCCUGAAGUAACGUUAUGUGGAGGUGGGAGACAAAAAAACCAAGCAAUAGUUGGACGAUGGACGAAAAAAGACCAGCAACGUUAUGUGGAGGUGGAAGACAAAAAAAACCAAGCACUCGUCGGACAAUCGGACAAUGGACGAAAAAAGACCGAUGAACACCGGCUAUCAACUGCCUCUUUAGGAGUAGGGAUACCUACAACUGUCAAAAAAUAAAUACAGUCCUUACAAUGUGGACACACAUUAUUUUUUCAUGUAUUUCUUUAUUUUUUCCCAGUAUUUUGCAUUGGUUUGUUGGUUUUCAAUUGUAUUGUUAUGGUCUUUUGUUCCAUUUUCUUCUUUCACCUGUUUCAUGUGGCCUUUUCUUCUUGAUUUUUAACUUUUUAAACAAAUAUUAAUUUAUUCAUACACAUUUUACAUUUUUAGUACACAUCAUGGAUAUUGUUGUAUACAUGGUUAACUUCCUUUAAAUACAUGACUACUAUUUUUAAAUUAUAUAAUUUUAUCCUUAUUUUUUCAUACAAAUUCGUACAAAUUUUGAUAUAUAUAUAAUAUUAAAUACAUAUUUUGAACAUCUCUAUGAAUUGUGUUGUAAAUUUUCAGAUACACGUUGAAAUAAAAAAUUUAAUGACACAAAACAAAAUUCGUAAACUAUGAGCAUAUUUCAUGGCAUUGUAAUUUUUUUCUUUUAAAUGUCACAAGCAUAUUUGUGACAUCCAUGAACAUUUUUUAAAUUUAACGUGCAUUUUAACUGAUAUGUACAUUUUUUACACUGUACACACAUUUGAAAUGUCAAGUACAUUUAUUUGAAACAGGUGCACAUUUUUUAAAUGCCAUACACAUCUAUUUUUGAAUGGUAUAAAUAUUUUCUAAAAGUUUAGGGAUAAUUUGUUUUACACUACAUAAACA